rnacentral:lncRNA from 1 species
ACAUGCCCACACCUGUGGCUUCUGAAGCAGAGCACCAGCAGUGACAGUCCCACCAGAACCGCAUGGAAUAGAAAACUGUGCAUUUCCCUAAGGAAAGGGAAUGCCAGAGAAGGGCAGAAGGGAAAUCAGGAAGACAAAACGGUAAAUUACCUACCACAAAUCCAAUUCAUUGGUAUUUUUCCACUUACACUUAACCAAGCAACGAUUUCUCCUGGUCCCAUAAUGGAAAAGAGGGUUUAUCUAGAUUCAUAUAUACAAGACUGAAGAGUGAAGAGAGACCCAGAGAAUGUUCUAAAAUCUGCCAGUUAGCAUAAUCACACAGAGAAAUCUCUGCUUCCAGAGGAGGAGCCAAGUUCAAGUCAGAGUGUCUUCAUGUUGGAGUGGACCUUUCCUCUAUCUGUCAACAGAAUGGAUAAAUUGUGGAAGAGUAAUAUCAGAAUACUACACAUCAGUAAAAAACAACAAACUUCUGCUACAAACAAUCAACAUCGAUGAAUCUUUCAGGCAAAAGGGCAAAGAAAAGUAUUGGUCUUCCAAAACAAAUAGAGGACGGAGCUGCUGCUGUUGCAUGGUGUCUAGAAACUCAGACAACUUCAUCAUUCCAUAUUUGCAUCCAAGAGAGAGAAAGAAAAACUACAAUCAUUUUCCAUUUACCCAUCAACCCAUCAACCUCCAAAUAAAGGCUAUUAAAAAACAAUCAAAGUGUGAAGAGGGCAGAAAAUGUGAUGAAGAGAUUCUUUGGAGAAAGUAGCUGCCACUGUUACCUUGGGAUCUGCCUAUAGUCCUCACAGAGCUUGAGACAGGGUCUCACUAUGUUGCCCCAGUUGGCCUUGAACUGCUGGACUCAAGGGAUCCUCCUGCCUCAGCAUCCUGAGUAGCUGGGUCUACAGGCAUGAACCACCAGGCCCAGAACCCUGUCUUUUGAAAGCCAUAUGCGAUCUGUCUGCCCUGAAGUGACUACUUCAUCUCCAACCAGCCCUUGGCUGGCAAAGUCAGGAAGACUCCAGUCUUUCCUGAAGACCAGGGGAGAGUUUAUAACUCUAGCAUCAAAGUCAGCAGCUGUUCAUCUAGAAGACAACUUCCCAAAAGUCAAUGUCUUUGCCUGAAGCUUUUCUUCCCAGAUCUCCUAUGGUGAAACAACCAAAGGGAAGAAGAAUGUGGGCAGCCCUCAGUAAGACAGGAGAUGAGCAUCAACAUUGACCCAUUCUUUCUUCCAGUCCUCGAUGCUUACCUUGUACAUUCUUCUUUGUCUUCCGACUCAGUGCCUUUAGGGUAUGGACGUUGCCUGGUCCCACACAAGCCAAGCAUCAAAUGGAUGGCUCAACAAGGAGGCCAAGACCAGCUAAUGUUUAGUGAGCACCCAAAGGGGCCACACUGGAGAGAACAGCACAGCUCCGUCUGAGAAACAGCUGUUCCUUCCUGCCUGAGAGGCAGAGUGAUAGAAGAUAUCACAGAAUGUUGCUGCUUUGUCUUCCACCCUGAACCCUCCACGACCUCCCUGUAGCUUCCUGAUUUUAAGUAGACAUCAAAUGAUUCUUAAUCCUUUCUGGGUCUUGGAACGAUUUGAAAAUUGUCAACAGUACUGGGAUUCCCAGAAUAAUGCACAUAUGUACAUACUCAGAUAUUCCCCAAGCCCUGGAUAUAAUUUUAAGGGAGUUCACAGACCACACUCCCCCACCCAUCUGUGGACCCAGAUUCUGUGGGUUCGAGAUUCAGAAGCCCUGUUUCUAGGCAGGCCCUCUGUUGCUAACGCCCCUCGAGAACAUCACCCUAGAUGAUUAUCCCUUCUUCCUCCACUCCUUCCCACCUUCUCCAACUGCUGGGUUUCAGCACAAAGAUUGCUUGCCAGUUAAACUGGCACCAUGGACCGCACAGUAGUUGUUUCUUGGGUCUAGAGGAAACAGCCAGAUUCCUUUAAGUAAAUCAUGUCUUAGUUAUUGAUUGUCUCCACUUGAAGUUUUUGACAAUCUCUGAUUAAAUCAUAAACCACUGCA